rnacentral:rRNA from 1 species
AUGGAGGCGCUACAAGACACCAGUUCCCUACAGCUGCAGGCGGCGAUUCGAUGGCUGCUGCACACCAUCCUGCCAAGCCUCCUAGUCGGCGGCAAGCUGGACGGGUGGAUUCGCCAAGCAGGGCUCGGCAGCCAGGUGGAGGGGCUCCGGGACGAGAUCCAGCAGGUCGACGGGGUGGUCUCCGCCGUCAACGCCAGGGCGACCAGGAAUAGUUCGCUGGUCAGAUCCUUCUCGGUCCUAAAGGAGCUGCUCUACGAUGCCGACGACGUGGUCGACGAGCUCGACUGCUAG